UACGAAGGGGGCUAGCGUUGCUCGGAAUCACUGGGCGUAAAGGGUGCGUAGGCGGGUCUUUAAGUCAGGGGGUGAAAUCCUGGAGCUCAACUCCAGAACUGCCUUUGAUACUGAGGAUCUUGAGUUCGGGAGAGGUGAGUGGAACUGCGAGUGUAGAGGUGAAAUUCGUAGAUAUUCGCAAGAACACCAGUGGCGAAGGCGGCUCACUGGCCCGAUACUGACGCUGAGGCACGAAAGCGUGGGGAGCAAACAGGGAUUAGAAACCCUGUGACGUC
rnacentral:rRNA from 1 species